UGCGGGGUGGAGCAGCCUGGUAGCUCGUCGGGCUCAUAACCCGAAGGUCGCGUGUUCAAAUCACGCCCCCGCUA
rnacentral:tRNA from 1 species